CGCUGAACGCCGGCGUCCUGGCGUCCUGGUUCCCGCGCGUCCGCGCGCGUUCUUAGUGCGCACGCGCAGCGGUUCGGGGGUGUGGCAAAGCAGCUCGUUCUUCUGCGAGAGGGACCGCGAUUUCUAAUAGCGGGCGUUUUGUGCUGCUUCCUCACCGGCGUGGCGUCGGGGAGGCGGUGAAGCUGAUGCAGAGCGUGAGCGCGGUGCUGCGAGGUGACAGAGUUGCGGGCGAGCAGGAGCCAGUUGAGAAAGGGCGGAAUCCGGCGGGAAUUCAAACAAGUCUUCACAACAAAAUAAAAUGAAGCAUUUUUAGCAGACGAAUGCUGUGUUGCAGAGGACGUGGGAAAAGAAUGCUACAAAAGUAAUUACAGCAACAUCCUUCAUCCCAGGGGCAUGCGUCUUUGAGAGGACAUCUCUGAGUCUUUCGUAGAGGCAUUAUCAAGGUAUGCAAGCAGUGGCGAAAUGGGUGGAGUUUCUGUUUAGGGGCUUUCCUAGACUGCAUUUGGCUCUAGCC
rnacentral:lncRNA from 1 species